UUUCAUCAAACUUCCUUUCCUCCUUUCCAUUCAACCAAUGAAUUCCUUGAAAAUCUCUUGAGCAAUAAGAUACAGUUAACUUGGCAAAGGGCUUCGACUUCAACAUCUCGACCCAAUCGAGGAGGUCCAAACCGCGGCAAUCUCCCAAUUUCCUCUCCCCCGCUUCGUUGUUUGAAACCUGCAUUCUUCAUUUCCUCUGCAAUCAUGAAGCUUGUUAGGUUUUUGAUGAAGCUCAACAAUGAGACUGUCUCAAUCGAGCUAAAAAAUGGAACUGUUGUCCAUGGCACUAUCACAGGUGUGGAUAUCAGCAUGAAUACACAUUUGAAAGCUGUGAAGCUUACUCUAAAGGGGAAAAAUCCAGUUACCAUGGAUCAUUUAAGUGUGAGGGGUAACAACAUCAGAUAUUAUAUUCUACCUGACAGCUUGAAUCUUGAGACUUUACUUGUUGAAGAGACACCCAGGGUCAAGCCCAAGAAACCAACUGCAGGGAGGCCUUUGGGACGUGGACGAGGACGUGGCCGUGGCCGUGGUCGUGGGCGUGGACGCUAGAUGGACUAGAUUUGUUGCAGUUGUUUCAAUUUUUGGGACCUGUAGUGUAAACACUUGCAUUGUCGGGAAGGAUUAUGAAUUUUGGGACACGAAAAAGUGGGUAUUGAUAUGAUGUAAGACUCUUUGGGGCGAUCUCUUCUAGCUUGAAAUAAAAGUGGCAGACUCCUUUAGAGCUCUUUCAUCCAUUUGCUUUCUUUUCACUUCUCAUACAAACAAUUCACCGUGGGUUUCGUAGAGACUGAAAUCUGAGCUUAUCCUCAGCUUUGGACUUGGUGUUGAGUAACAACAAUUAUAGGUUGAGGGAUCAAACCUUUGACCCUUAGAACGAAAGUCAUGCUAAUUACUGUUAAGUUAAGUUUAUUUUGGCCUUUGAACUUAUUCUUUAAGACAUUAUGUAAAGUACAAAGAACUACUAAAACAUUAUCUAGUCCAGAUUUUGUUUUCUUACGUUAGACUGGUUUGUUCCCUUGAUAAGGAAACAUAAAAGAGGCAAAUUAUAGGUUGAAUAGUUCUUAAUGUACAAGUGAAUAUGUAUUAUUGAAAUAUCUUCAUCAAUUCAAAUAUAUCCUCACCAUAACUUGGGAAUGAGUUUUUCCUAUU